rnacentral:rRNA from 1 species
GACGAACGCUGGCGGCGUGGAUUAGGCAUGCAAGUCGAACGGUAUCAUCCUUUCGGGGGUGAGAGAGUGGCGAACUGGUGAGUAACACGUAGGUUAUCUACCCUCAAGACGGGGACAACCCAGGGAAACUUGGGCUAAUACCGGAUGUGAGCAACUUUUAGUUGUUUGAAAGGUGGCGUAAGCUGUCGCUUGGGGAUGAGCCUGCGUCCUAUUAGUUAGUUGGUGAGGUAACGGCUCACCUAGGCAAUGAUAGGUAGGCGGCCUUAACGGGUGGUCGCCCACACUGGGACUGAGACACGGCCCAGACUCCUACGGGAGGCAGCAGUGGGGAAUAUUGCAAAUGGGCGAAAGCCUGAUGUAGCAACGCCGCGUGUGCGAUGAAGGUCUUCGGAUUGUAAAGCACUUUUUGGAGGGAUGAGGAAGGACAGUACCUCCAGAAUAAGCCUCGGCUAACUACGUG